rnacentral:rRNA from 1 species
AGAGUUUGAUCCUGGCUCAGGAUGAACGCUAGCGGGAGGCCUAACACAUGCAAGCCGAGCGGUAGAGAUCUUUCGGGAUCUUGAGAGCGGCGUACGGGUGCGGAACACGUGUGCAACCUGCCUUUAUCAGGGGGAUAGCCUUUCGAAAGGAAGAUUAAUACCCCAUAAUAUAUCGAGUGGCAUCACUUGAUAUUGAAAACUCCGGUGGAUAGAGAUGGGCACGCGCAAGAUUAGAUAGUUGGUGAGGUAACGGCUCACCAAGUCUGCGAUCUUUAGGGGGCCUGAGAGGGUGAUCCCCCACACUGGUACUGAGACACGGACCAGACUCCUACGGGAGGCAGCAGUGAGGAAUAUUGGACAAUGGGUGCGAGCCUGAUCCAGCCAUCCCGCGUGAAGGAUGACGGCCCUAUGGGUUGUAAACUUCUUUUGUAUAGGGAUAAACCUACCCUCGUGAGGGUAGCUGAAGGUACUAUACGAAUAAGCACCGGCUAACUCCGUGCCAGCAGCCGCGGUAAUACGGAGGGUGCAAGCGUUAAUCGGAAUUACUGGGCGUAAAGCGCACGCAGGCGGUCUGUCAAGUCGGAUGUGAAAUCCCCGGGCUCAACCUGGGAACUGCAUUCGAAACUGGCAGGCUUGAGUCUUGUAGAGGGGGGUAGAAUUCCAGGUGUAGCGGUGAAAUGCGUAGAGAUCUGGAGGAAUACCGGUGGCGAAGGCGGCCCCCUGGACAAAGACUGACGCUCAGGUGCGAAAGCGUGGGGAGCAAACAGGAUUAGAUACCCUGGUAGUCCACGCCGUAAACGAUGUCGACUUGGAGGUUGUUCCCUUGAGGAGUGGCUUCCGGAGCUAACGCGUUAAGUCGACCGCCUGGGGAGUACGGCCGCAAGGUUAAAACUCAAAUGAAUUGACGGGGGCCCGCACAAGCGGUGGAGCAUGUGGUUUAAUUCGAUGCAACGCGAAGAACCUUACCUGGUCUUGACAUCCACGGAAUUUGGCAGAGAUGCCUUAGUGCCUUCGGGAACCGUGAGACAGGUGCUGCAUGGCUGUCGUCAGCUCGUGUUGUGAAAUGUUGGGUUAAGUCCCGCAACGAGCGCAACCCUUAUCCUUUGUUGCCAGCGGUUAGGCCGGGAACUCAAAGGAGACUGCCAGUGAUAAACUGGAGGAAGGUGGGGAUGACGUCAAGUCAUCAUGGCCCUUACGAGUAGGGCUACACACGUGCUACAAUGGCGCAUACAAAGAGAAGCGACCUCGCGAGAGCAAGCGGACCUCAUAAAGUGCGUCGUAGUCCGGAUUGGAGUCUGCAACUCGACUCCAUGAAGUCGGAAUCGCUAGUAAUCGUAGAUCAGAAUGCUACGGUGAAUACGUUCCCGGGCCUUGUACACACCGCCCGUCACACCAUGGGAGUGGGUUGCAAAAGAAGUAGGUAGCUUAACCUUCGGGAGGGCGCUUACCACUUUGUGAUUCAUGACUGGGGUGAAGUCGUAACAAGGUAACCGUAGGGGAACCUGCGGUUG